AACGAACGCUGGCGGCAGGCCUAACACAUGCAAGUCGAGCGGGCGUAGCAAUACGUCAGCGGCGGACGGGUGAGUAGCACGUGGGAAUAUGCCUUUCGGUUUGGAACAACUCGGGGAAACCCGUGCUAAUUCCGGAUACGCCCUUAGGGGGAAAGAUUUAUCGCCGAAAGAUUAGCCCGCGUCCGAUUAGCUAGUUGGUGAGGUAACGGCCCACCAAGGCGACGAUCGGUAGCUGGUUUGAGAGAACGACCAGCCACACUGGGACUGAGACACGGCCCAGACUCCUACGGGAGGCAGCAGUGGGGAAUCUUGCGCAAUGGGCGAAAGCCUGACGCAGCGACGCCGCGUGCGGGAGGACGGCCUGGUCGUAACCGACU
rnacentral:rRNA from 1 species